UACGGAGGGGGCUAGCGUUGUUCGGAAUGACUGGGCGUAAAGCGCGCGUAGGCGGAUUGGCAAGUUGGGGGUGAAAUCCCGGGGCUCAACCUCGGAAUGGCCUUCAAGACUGCUGGUCUUGAGUUCGAGAGAGGUGAGUGGAAUUCCGAGUGUAGAGGUGAAAUUCGUAGAUAUUCGGAGGAACACCAGUGGCGAAGGCGGCUCACUGGCUCAUUACUGACGCUGAGGCUCGAAAGCGUGGGGAGCAAACAGG
rnacentral:rRNA from 1 species